CUCUCCACCGGCACUGGGACUGGUUAAAGUAGUUUUACGUAUGUCUUCACAUUGGAACUCGGUAGAGCAGUAAAGUUACAACACCUAACUGUAUUUCUCUCCUUGGGUCACAGUUUUAGAAAACAUCCUACACAACAGUGGAACACGUAUACCCGUCCCCACACACACCCGUCAUCAGGAGGAAAAGGCUCGAAAGAUACGCAACAGCACCUGACACCAUCUGAUACACUUCCUUCCGCACUUGUAAGCUGUGAAGCCUUCCUCGAACCAGCAGGUGGACUGUGACAGGGCGGGGACUGCCUCUGUACACUCAGUUUCACCUGUGACCAAUGGUUGCCACAUGAUUUUUCUCCAUCUUUCUGCGCAGAAACAUUCUGAACUACGAAGCGGCCUGGAACAAAAAGAAAUUGGCAAUUUUAGAAGUGCAUCUAAAGCUCCGUAAAGAAGUCAAAGGCCCGAAAAUACAGCUUGAAAGUACACUAGUCCUAAAUCUCCCCAAUUUUCUCUACCAACUGAAUUAAGAAUCUUUUUCACUACAAACAUAAAAUAAACUUAGUUAUAUGGUAUACUUCA